CUGUCGCAGAUGGAUGAGCCUGCGUUGGAUUAGCUAGUUGGUGGGGUAAGGGCUUACCAAGGCUACGAUCCAUAGCUGAUUUGAGAGGAUGAUCAGCCACAUUGGGACUGAGACACGGCCCAAACUCCUACGGGAGGCAGCAGUGAGGAAUAUUGGACAAUGGGGGCAACCCUGAUCCAGCAAUGCCAUGUGUGUGAAGAAGGCCUUAGGGUUGUAAAGCACUUUAGUUGGGGAAGAAAGCUUUGAGGUUAAUAGCCUUGAGGAAGGACGUUACCCAAAGAAUAAGCACCGGCUAACUCCGUGCCAGCAGCCGCGGUAAUACGGGGGGUGCAAGCGUUAAUCGGAAUUACUGGGCGUAAAGGGUCUGUAGGUGGUUUGUUAAGUCAGAUGUGAAAGCCCAGGGCUCAACCUUGGAACUGCAUUUGAUACUGGCAAACUAGAGUACGGUAGAGGAAAUGGGGAAUUUCUGGUGUAGCGGUGAAAUGCGUAGAGAUCAGAAGGAACACCAAUGGCGAAGGCAACAUUCUGGACCGAUACUGACACUGAGGGACGAAAGCGUGGGGAUCAAACAGGAUUAGAUACCCUGGUAGUCCAUGCUGUAAACGAUGAGUACUAGCUGUUGGAGUCGGUGUAAAGGCUCUAGUGGCGCAGCUAACGCGAUAAGUACUCCGCCUGGGGACUACGGCCGCAAGGCUAAAACUCAAAGGAAUUGACGGGGACCCGCACAAGCGGUGGAGCAUGUGGUUUAAUUCGAUGCAACGCGAAGAACCUUACCUGGUCUUGACAUCCUGCGAGCUUUCUAGAGAUAGAUUGGUGCCUUCGGGAACGCAGUGACAGGUGCUGCACGGCUGUUGUCAGCUCGUGUUGUGAAAUGUUGGGUUAAGUCCCGCAACGAGCGCAACCCCUAUUGAUAGUUACCAUCAUUAAGUUGGGUACUCUAUUGAGACUGCCGCUGACAAGGCGGAGGAAGGUGGGGACGACGUCAAGUCAUCAUGGCCCUUACGACCAGGGCUACACACGUGCUACAAUGGGUAUUACAGAGGGCUGCGAAGAGCAUCUGACAAAAUAA
rnacentral:rRNA from 1 species